rnacentral:rRNA from 1 species
UCGGGAAUUUUGGGCAAUGGGCGAAAGCCUGACCCAGCAACGCCGCGUGAAGGAUGAAGUAUUUCGGUAUGUAAACUUCGAAAGAAUAGGAAGAAUAAAUGACGGUACUAUUUAUAAGGUCCGGCUAACUACGUGCCAGCAGCCGCGGUAAUACGUAGGGACCAAGCGUUGUUCGGAUUUACUGGGCGUAAAGGGCGCGUAGGCGGCGUGGUAAGUCACUUGUGAAAUCUCCGAGCUUAACUCGGAACGGUCAAGUGAUACUGCUGUGCUAGAGUACAGAAGGGGCAAUCGGAAUUCUUGGUGUAGCGGUGAAAUGCGUAGAUAUCAAGAGGAACACCUGAGGUGAAGACGGGUUGCUGGGCUGAUACUGACGCUGAGGCGCGAAAGCUAGGGUAGCAAACGGGAUUAGAUACCCUCGUAGUCCCUGAGCGGGCUGGCA